CAACCGUAGUGCACGCUCCUGCUAAUGCACAGCGCCCUGGCGAUGAACACGGUGGUGGAUUCCACGCACACUCACGUGUGCCUAGGUGUACGCAUGCGUCUGUACGCAGUUCUGCACCUGCCUAAGACUUUGGCAAUGGGCUGGGAGAGCAGGCAGGUUCAACUUCUGCUGCCUCCUGGAGGCCUCCAGCAAUCUGUGGCCCAGGGUUCCACGUGCAGCACCCCUGCCUUCCCACUGGCCAGUGCUUCACAGGGGAGGCAGGUGAGGCCUCUGUUCUGCCGUGAGGCUCUGAGCCUGUUGGGAACACGAUGACUGAAGAGCGCUGGUGCUCGAAGAUGGAGGGUCCAGGUGUGAACAGGGCUGUCCUGGUGCGUUCUGGGAACACACAGAAACGGCUGAGACAUCAGAGGUGCACACCAGAGCCCCGCUGCGCCUGCUCUUGGCCUUGAUGUUUUGAGACCUAAGACUAGGGUCUCCACAUCCCCCUUUCUGCUCACCGCCGGAUGCCCCAGCAGGCCUGGAGCCAGCCCUCUCAGCUCUUUCUGAUGGGGUGGCUUUGGGCUCCCUGCAGCCGCUCUGAAGAUUGAAUGGAACCUCAGGCUGAGGGACCCACAGGGGUG
rnacentral:lncRNA from 1 species